ACAGUUGGUCGGUUUGUCGCUGGCACUUCGGUGCGAGAGGAAAGUCUGAGCAACACAGAGCAUCCCCCUUCCUAACGGGAAGUAGCUUGUGAAGGUUAAGUAACGCAGAAGAAAAUAACCGCCUCUUCGGAGGUAAGGGUGAGAAGGUAAGGUAAGAGCUUACCAGCUGUAUGGCGACAUACGGGCUGUGCGUCUGGGGAGUUGUAAGGUCAUGUAUACCGACAUAAAAAGAGCUGCUCGCUCAACGUCGGAGGGUAGACUGCUCGAGCAUAAUGGUGACAUUAUGCCUAGAUAAAUGACAGACACUUUAUAUUUAUAUAAGGUACAGAACUCGGCUUAUAGACCAACUGUUUUU
rfam:Bacteroides coprosuis DSM 18011 chromosome, whole genome shotgun sequence.